rnacentral:misc_RNA from 1 species
CCUGAGCAAGGAUAGAUCUUUAUAAUGAAUUUGAUGAUUUCUAGGAUUUGUCUCUGUCAAAAUAUUAAAUCAGAUGGUACAAAACCAGGUAGCCUAAUUUGGCUGCUUUCAUUCGUUUGAUUGAGAGAUUUUAUUGCUUCAAGACUAGUCUACUGCUUCAAGACUAGUCUAUCCAAUUCUUUUAUAGGGACAACUUAUUUUAAGUAAUUUUGUCAGUUCUUGCUGCCUGUUGAAGCAUGUCUUGCAUUCUGUAGGCUCCAACCCAAUUGAUACUGUUUCAUCGGCG